rnacentral:rRNA from 1 species
ACGAGUGGCGGACGGGUGAGUAACACGUAGGUAACCUGCCCAGAAGCGGGGGACAACAUUUGGAAACAGAUGCUAAUACCGCAUAACAGCGUUGUUCGCAUGAACAACGCUUAAAAGAUGGCUUCUCGCUAUCACUUCUGGAUGGACCUGCGGUGCAUUAGCUUGUUGGUGGGGUAACGGCCUACCAAGGCGAUGAUGCAUAGCCGAGUUGAGAGACUGAUCGGCCACAAUGGGACUGAGACACGGCCCAUACUCCUACGGGAGGCAGCAGUAGGGAAUCUUCCACAAUGGGCGCAAGCCUGAUGGAGCAACACCGCGUGAGUGAAGAAGGGUUUCGGCUCGUAAAGCUCUGUUGUUAAAGAAGAACACGUAUGAGAGUAACUGUUCAUACGUUGACGGUAUUUAACCAGAAAGUCACGGCUAACUACGUGCCAGCAGCCGCGGUAAUACGUAGGUGGCAAGCGUUAUCCGGAUUUAUUGGGCGUAAAGAGAGUGCAGGCGGUUUUCUAAGUCUGAUGUGAAAGCCUUCGGCUUAACCGGAGAAGUGCAUCGGAAACUGGAUAACUUGAGUGCAGAAGAGGGUAGUGGAACUCCAUGUGUAGCGGUGGAAUGCGUAGAUAUAUGGAAGAACACCAGUGGCGAAGGCGGCUACCUGGUCUGCAACUGACGCUGAGACUCGAAAGCAUGGGUAGCGAACAGGAUUAGAUACCCUGGUAGUCCAUGCCGUAAACGAUGAGUGCUAGGUGUUGGAGGGUUUCCGCCCUUCAGUGCCGGAGCUAACGCAUUAAGCACUCCGCCUGGGGAGUACGACCGCAAGGUUGAAACUCAAAGGAAUUGACGGGGGCCCGCACAAGCGGUGGAGCAUGUGGUUUAAUUCGAAGCUACGCGAAGAACCUUACCAGGUCUUGACAUCUUGCGCCAACCCUAGAGAUAGGGCGUUUCCUUCGGGAACGCAAUGACAGGUGGUGCAUGGUCGUCGUCAGCUCGUGUCGUGAGAUGUUGGGUUAAGUCCCGCAACGAGCGCAACCCUUGUUACUAGUUGCCAGCAUUAAGUUGGGCACUCUAGUGAGACUGCCGGUGACAAACCGGAGGAAGGUGGGGACGACGUCAGAUCAUCAUGCCCCUUAUGACCUGGGCUACACACGUGCUACAAUGGACGGUACAACGAGUCGCGAACUCGCGAGGGCAAGCAAAUCUCUUAAAACCGUUCUCAGUUCGGACUGCAGGCUGCAACUCGCCUGCACGAAGUCGGAAUCGCUAGUAAUCGCGGAUCAGCAUGCCGCGGUGAAUACGUUCCCGGGCCUUGUACACACCGCCCGUCACACCAUGAGAGUUUGUAACACCCAAAGUCGGUGGGGUACCUUUUAGGAGCCAGCCGCCUAAGGUG